UUGAACGCUGGCGGCAUGCCUUACACAUGCAAGUCGAACGGCAGCACGGGGGCGACCCUGGUGGCGAGUGGCGAACGGGUGAGUAACGCAUCGGAACGUACCCGGAAGUGGGGGAUAACGUAGCGAAAGUUACGCUAAUACCGCAUGAGUCCUGAGGGAGAAAGCGGGGGAUCGCAAGACCUCGCGCGAUUGGAGUGGCCGAUGUCAGAUUAGCUAGUUGGUGGGGUAAAGGCCUACCAAGGCGACGAUCUGUAGCGGGUCUGAGAGGAUGAUCCGCCACACUGGGACUGAGACACGGCCCAGACUCCUACGGGAGGCAGCAGUGGGGAAUUUUGGACAAUGGGCGAAAGCCUGAUCCAGCCAUGCCGCGUGCGGGAAGAAGGCCUUCGGGUUGUAAACCGCUUUCAGCCGGAAAGAAAUCGCCACUUCUAAUACGAGUGGUGGAUGACGGUACCGGAAGAAGAAGCACCGGCUAACUACGU
rnacentral:rRNA from 1 species